rnacentral:rRNA from 1 species
GACGUAGGGCGCGAGCGUUGUCCGGAUUUAUUGGGCGUAAAGAGCUCGUAGGCGGUUCGGCAAGUCGGGUGUGAAAUUUCGAGGCUCAACCUCGAAACGCCACUCGAUACUGCUGUGACUGGAGUCCGGUAGAGGAGUGCGGAAUUCCUGGUGUAGCGGUGAAAUGCGCAGAUAUCAGGAGGAACACCAACGGCGAAGGCAGCACUCUGGGCCGGUACUGACGCUGAGGAGCGAAAGCGUGGGGAGCAAACAGG